AGACUUCACUCUUGAAACACUCAGGACCAGAAGAACAGAGGCAUUGGAAGCCAAGUCUGCACAACACAGAGUGGGACACAUGGAGAACCUUGCUAUACAGCACAUCUAGACUCUUUUCAGUAGUGCCCAGUACCAGGACAAGAAGUGAGCGAAAACUGGAACAUAGGAGUUUCCAUCUCAACUGUCAUCUAUGAUUCUGUGAUCUGGAAGAAAUUAUGAUACUUGCAGAAAUGGAAAAGCAGUAAGGCUUGGCACCAGACUCCAGUGAAAUGAACAGAUUCCAGGUGAACAUGAUGAGAACACAAUCUAACAAACAGCCAUGCUUUGGCUGCCUGCUCUGAUAGCAGCAGCUGCUUGGAAAACUAAGCUGCUUCACAAUUGAAAGAGGUUUACGCCUCCAACUUUCUCUCCCCUGCUGCUACUGUUUGAUUUGUAGUUUUACAGAAUGAAAAGCAUAAUUGCAUACUUUGUACUGAAGAUAUUAGGAAAAAAUAUUUUUAUAUUAUAUUUUUAGAGCAGUUUUCCUUAUUUUGCUGGUACUUUCUUUUAAAAGGCAUCCAAAUUGCUUUAUACUUAUGGUUUCUUAUGAGUAUAUGUCACUAACAACUGUAUUUUUUGCACAAAAUUAGUAAUGGAGUCUGAAUUGAGGUAAUGGAUAAUUAAAUAAUUCACAUAAAAAAAUAAGGUUAAUCUGCAUAGUUUUGCUUUUAAUCACAGUUUUCCUAAAUUAUGUUGAUCCAAAUCUCUGCUACGGAUAUGAAAAACUAUAGCAGCUAACAUAAGGACAUAUUCUUCAUCUGAAUUCUUUGCCUUAAACUGGAGAUUAAAAUGGAUAAUAUAAUCUUAUCCUCAUAUUUUCUCAUGUCCUUGACAUCUGUGGCAGCACUGCAGAGAAUGGGAGAUAACUGCUGCUAUACAGUAUUUACAAUACCAAUUUGAUGUAAUAAAGUAAUUUUGCUGU
rnacentral:lncRNA from 7 species